AUGGCUCCCGGUGGUGCGUUGUGGGUUCUGUCCAUGUGGAGAAGAAUCAAGAAGGCAGAGCCACACCACUCUUUAGCCCAAACAAACAGUGGGAAAUCUGAUUUACCUGAAGAAGCAACGAAACUGGCCUAUACCCGGGAAACCAGUCGAAACCAUCCCCGGCACCACAGAUCACUUGGCCAUCCCAGAUACCCUACAACGGAUUGGUAUCAACAUCUAAAAACAACAACCUAUUCAUUUGACCCUUAAGACAUUGAUGUAUGUCUGGUAUCCAGGAGCUACUCUGAGAAGAACUGAUAAAGAUGAUAUAUUAAUUACUUAACUGUCUUUUUCUACGCUUGAGAAUACCAUUAAAAUAGCAGUAGAUUCUGCUUGUUUUUCAUUUAUUUGAUUGGAUAAGAUUGUAACCAAUCUAGAGACUACAACAGUUUUAUGUGAAUACUUAUGUGAAGGGUUGUCUUGUUGUACAUAUAUAUGUUAAGAACUGUUUAUUUAUCUCGAUUCAACGCUGCGACAACUAUUUUGAGUGUUAUUAAGUCAACAAUAAGACUUUGUUAGGUUUUUAUUUUUAUUUGACAGAACAGACACUGAAACUAUAAAGAGGAAUAGUUUUUCCAGAAUAUCUGUGUAAGUGUUGCUGAGUGUAUUGCAUUUAUGUUAAGAAUCAUACUAAUGUAGUCAAAGUAAAUACAGGUAGUGGAUACCUAAAGUAAAAUAUUCAUUGUAAUAUAUAUUAUCAGUAAAUGUAAGAGAUUCUAGAGGGCUAUGUGUCAUGGGACCAAUUCCAAGAGCUGAGUUUGCAAGCUCUUGAAUCGGAGCCAUAACAAUUCGCACUCCUCUAUAGCUCCUACGGACACCUGGCAGCAAAGCAUGGGAACUUCUGGAGAGAGAAUCAAAACAAUUUUAAUGAAUAGUUUGUGUUGUAGUGAUGAUAAUGAUACAUGGGGUGGGGCUUGGGUGAUGAUAUUUACGUGUGGUGUGACGUUGUAACGAAGGUAAUAAAGAAGAUUGUAUGUAAACAUUAUGUCAUUCUCAACUUUCCCAAGUCGUGUGUUCUUCAAUAAAGAUUCCGUUUGAUAGCAGCUACCUUUGGUCUGUGUUCAUGUGGGUCGUUUGAAGUAAGCGUGACAGCUAUGAUCUACCACUGUUUCUAAUCAAAUCCAAUUUUGAUGGAUAUUAAUAAGAUACCAUAAUCCCCCUCUUUGGCAACUUGCAUAACAAGUGCCACUAAAAGUUGUUUAUAUAGAAGAAAUAUUACAUUACUAACAUAGUAUUCACACAUUACAUACCAUACUAUCCUUUUUAUGUUUCAUUCUGUAACAUCUCAGAUUGAUCCUUUUCCACAUUUAAGUAGAAUCCUUAGGAACAAAAUAAGAGUUGCUAUGAGUUUCUACACUUGUGCCGUCCGCCGGACAAUAAAAAACUAUAAAACUGAAACGUGCUGUCCUUUAUCCGGGCGAACUGCAAAUCCCUAUAAGCUGUCCUAUAGAUAUUGAACGACUGAGUCUGGAUAACUUCAAAAAAGGAUGUUUAUUCAUACAAGGUUGUAAACCUGGCACAGAUCUUAAAGUUGCAGAAAAUGAAACAAAUUUCCAUAGGUUUUAGUUGCAGAAUUAUCCCUGGUUCCAGAAGGCAAAAGUGAUUAUAAAACCACUAUACCCUAAUCACGCUGCCUAUAUUAGAAGGAGAAACUCUUUCCUUCCCUAUCUUUACAGCAAAGAUUAGUUCUAGAAGCGAUGGAAUAACUUUGCUCCUCUAACUAGAUUUCCUAUUCCAGAUCAAUAUAAUUCAAUACUUAUCUAAUUUGGAUAGGCUUAGAUUGGCCUGGUUUUGAGGAUGAUUUGUCCCAGUUAGCCUUGCACAGCUCCAGCACGUUGGAAGACUAUAGCCAGAAUGAAGCUCCAAAAUGGAGACUAGACCCUGGUAAAAAGGGCGGUCCUAAGAUGUUGCAUUCUUUGACCAAUCACUGCAAAGAAAACUGCAGCCAGCUCUUGCAGAUUCCAAGCCACUUUUCCUAGGCUAUUGCAGCCAGAGGCUCAAACAAAAUGUAAAGGAGGGAAAACAAACAAACGACCAAUAGGUAAGGCAAACCAUCGUCCUGGGGGACGGAACAACACUGAUUCCCUUCCCCACCCCAAAGAAGCCUGAAAGUGGGUCUCUCCUUUGUUCUUCCAUCUCUAACGUCCCCUAUGUUUCUCUUGGUAGCAGGGACAGCCUUAUCAUUGAGCUUUAGAUGUAGACGUCAUCUCAUUUUGGAUCUAAUCCAAAUGUGGGAGACAGGUAGAUUCAAGCAAGGAAGCCAUGGCCCCAACCCCGUAAGAGCUGAGUAAGGCUAUUGAGGAGAGGGUGGCCUGGAGGCUUCCUGUACACAGGGUCACCAUGAGUCAAACUCAACUUGAUGGCAGUUGACAGUGAUAAUCUCAGGCAGUAGAUUGGAGUGAGCUCUUCCCUUAGUCUUGCAGAGGCAAUUGCUUCAGGUCUCAGAGUUCUGGGUGGCAACUUUACACAUCUCAUUCCCACCCACCUGACCCGGGAAGACAGAAUUGGUUGGAUUUAGCAACCUUCUUCAAGCAUCCACUAGUAAUUUGUUUUGUAUAUUAUCCUGUUUGCUUAUUGUAUUGUAUAUGUAUGUUUUGGUAUGCAGUUUUCCCUUUACUCUGUUUUCUUGAGGUUGUGGGAGGGGCUGCAGACCACAUGAUCAGAGCUGGGACUAUUCAGAUCCCAGACUCCAUUUUAGAACACAGAGAGGCCAUUAGACUUUGGACUGUCAAGAGCAAACUCAUGUUGCAGUUGAUUAUAAGAAAAAUGCCCUGUGUUAUUUGCACAGAGAAACCACUUCUAAUCUAUCUGUAACUGGAUUGACAAGGUAUGUACCUGUAUAUAGACUACAUGAAGGCUGUGAGUAAACCAGAUAUGUUACUUUUAACGAAGUCUACUUGAAAGCAUGAUAUAGAAACAAGAUAUUUUAUGGAAAAGUAGAUGUUUUUGGGCAUUGAAAGAAAACACUUCUGAAGAACUGCUAUAUUUUGUGCAUUGGCAUAAUCUCUGUUCUUAACAGAUCAGAGACAACCAGGUUAUCAUUCUAACAACUGAAAACCAUAUUGCCUUGCAUAAUUACAUGUGGAUAUAUACUACCGAAGAGAAGAUUUUACUCAAAUGAGUUUAGCUGUUCUCAAAUAGAUCAUAUUUUCACAAAAUAUUAUGAUUUUCAAAUGGUUGUGAAUGCCAUUUUCUCCAAAAGCUUAUGGAGAUUCUGGUUUUCCAAAAGAAAUGGAAGCAAUAACACAGUCCCACCUCCCAAAACAAACAAACAAUGUCUUGGUGGGUUGUUGUGUGUAUGGCCAUGUUCCAACAGUAUUCUCUCCAUAGAGCCCAGAAAACACACAACAACCCUGUGAUUCUGGCCAUGAUAGCCUUCGACAACACAAUGUCUUGGUGUCUUGGUUUUUAGGCCUAGUAAAGGUUUCCCCCUGACAUUAAGUCUAGUCAUGUCCGACUUUGGGAGUUGGGGCUCGUUUCCAUUUCUAAGCCGAAGAGCUGGCCUUGUCCGUAGACGCCUCCAAGAUCAUGUGGCCGGCAUGACUACAUGGACCACCGUUACCUUCCCGCUGGAGUGGUACCUAUUGAUCUACUCACAUUUGCAUGUUUUUUAACUACUAGGUUGGCAGAAGCUGGGGCUAACAGCAGAAGCUCACACUGGUCCCCGGAUUUGGGCAAGUUCAGCAGAUCAGCGGUUUAACCUGCUGUGCCAUCGAGGGC
rnacentral:lncRNA from 1 species